ACUCCUACGGGAGGCAGCAGUAGGGAAUUUUCCACAAUGAGCGAAAGCUUGAUGGAGCGACACAGCGUGCAGGAUGAAGGUUUUCGGAUCGUAAACUGCUGUUAUAAGGGAAGAAAAACUUGGAUAGGAAAUGAUUCAAACUUGACGGUACCUUAUUAGAAAGUGACGGCUAACUAUGUGCCAGCAGCCGCGGUAAUACA
rnacentral:rRNA from 1 species